rnacentral:rRNA from 1 species
UGGGGGAUAUUGCACAAUGGGCGAAAGCCUGAUGCAGCGACGCCGCGUGGGGGAUGAAGACUUUCGGGUUGUAAACCUCUUUCGCUAUCGAACAAGGCCCGCUUAGGGUGGGUUGAGGGUAGGUGGAGAAGAAGCGCCGGCUAACUACGUGCCAGCAGCCGCGGUAAUACGUAGGGCGCGAGCGUUGUCCGGAAUUAUUGGGCGUAAAGGGCUUGUAGGCGGCUUGUUGCGCCUGCUGUGAAAACGCGGGGCUUAACUUCGCGCGUGCAGUGGGUACGGGCAGGCUUGAGUGUGGUAGGGGUGACUGGAAUUCCAGGUGUAGCGGUGGAAUGCGCAGAUAUCUGGAGGAACACCGAUGGCGAAGGCAGGUCACUGGGCCAUUACUGACGCUGAGGAGCGAAAGCAUGGGUAGCGAACAGG